rnacentral:rRNA from 1 species
UACGUAGGGUGCGAGCGUUGUCCGGAAUUAUUGGGCGUAAAGAGCUCGUAGGCGGUCUGUCGCGUCGAUCGUGAAAACUUGGGGCUUAACCCUGAGCUUGCGGUCGAUACGGGCAUGACUGGAGUUCGGCAGGGGAGACUGGAAUUCCUGGUGUAGCGGUGAAAUGCGCAGAUAUCAGGAGGAACACCGGUGGCGAAGGCGGAUCUCUGGGCCUUACCUGACGCUGAGGCGCGAAAGCUAGGGGAGCAAACAGG